GACGAACCGUCCUAACGUUGUUCGGAAUCACUGGGCUUAAAGGGCGCGUAGGCGGGAUGGCAAGUCGGUCGUGAAAUCCCUCGGCUCAACUGAGGAUCGUCGAUCGAUACUGCCGUUCUUGAGGAUUGCAGAGGAGACUGGAAUUCCCGGUGUAGCGGUGAAAUGUGUAGAGAUCGGGAGGAACACCGGUGGCGAAGGCGGGUCUCUGGGCAAUUCCUGACGCUGAGGCGCGAAAGCGUGGGGAGCAAACGGG
rnacentral:rRNA from 1 species